GACAGAGGUGCCAAGCGUUAGGCGGAAUCACUGGGCUUAAAGCGUGUGUAGGCGGAUCGUUAAGUACCUUGUGAAAUCCCACGGCUCAACCGUGGAACUGCUGGGUAUACUGGCGAUCUUGAGCCACCUAGGGGCGAGCGGAACAAGCGGUGGAGCGGUGAAAUGCGUAGAUAUCUGGAGGAACACCGGUGGCGAAGGCGGCAUCCUGGACCAAUUCUGACGCUGAGGAGCGAAAGCCAGGGAGCAAACGGG
rnacentral:rRNA from 1 species